GGAGGAAGACAGGUAAAUGAGAACAUAGCUGUGAUUCCUCUGAUGAUGUUUUAUAUGUAGCAGCAUGGUCUCAAGAUUGUCAGCAAGAACAGACUCCUCACCACUUACUGCUUUAUUUCUUUAGAAAAAGACAGUGGGGAAUACCAGACCAGAAUGGACAGGGUCAACAACAAGUGGUAAAUAAGAUGAUGAUAUAGAAACAGAUGAUUCGUCUGGUGAUAAUGAUACAAUCAAAGGAGCUGACAGAGAAGGUGGUGUUCACCCUUGUGCCAUUUGCAAGACAUGGUUAGAGUCUUUCUUUGACCAUAAAGAACUGAGUUAUACAGCAUCAUAAAGUCAAACUUGAAAUGAUGGAGUGCAGUAACUGUUAGUGUACAUCUGUAUGGUAUGGAGGAGAUACACACAGGUGCUUCAGUCUUGCCUUGUCUCUGCAGCUGGUAGGUAGCCAUGAUGGAUGUCACUGAGCAUGCUCAGUUCCUAGAGGAUUAUGGGAAAUCACCAUGGAGAUACACCAUGCAUACCCUAGAUGCCAUCUUGGAUCUGUUCAUAAGUAAAAAAAGGGGAUCACUGCUUGUUACAGGAUUUGACAUUUUUCAGAAGAGUUCACCACUGCUGCCAUUUCUACAGUUCUAUGCUGAGUUCAGUGAGAGGCAGAACUACAGAAACUGUAGACUUCUCCUGGAUGAAUUUAAAGAAAUCUGUGUGUUCAG